rnacentral:lncRNA from 1 species
UGCUUCUGGAUAUUGAGCAAAAGAACACACGGCCUGAGUAGGAUGCUCCACAGCUUGGGCAUUGUAGUACACUCUCGUGUUUACCCAGCUAGAAGGAUCCUUUCUCAGCCUUGUACUUCUUCUCAACACUAGCCCUUCUUGCGCCAUCUCUUGUUCUCCUUCUUGUGGUAGAACACUUGUUUCAGAUCUUUCUUCUCCUAGCUGACUUGCUUCAGCUCCCUCUUCCCUUAGCUGACUCUCUUCAGCUCCUUCUUGUUGAUCAUUUGAUUCGACAGCUUGAUCAUGAGAACUAGAACUCUCUUCUCUACUUGUCUCUUCACUGUUUUGAGUUCUUGUUUCAUUCCCCCCCU